rnacentral:tRNA from 1 species
GGGAUGACUCAGAGGGUAGAGUGCAUGUCUUGUAUGCUUAAUGCCCUAGGUUAGAUUCCUAGCAUCUCA